rnacentral:rRNA from 1 species
GACGAACGCUGGCGGCGUGCCUAAUACAUGCAAGUCGAACGAACCGGCCCUGGUUGCUUGCACUGGUCCAAGGGCAGUGGGGAACGGGUGAGUAAAGCGUGGGUACCUUACCUCAUGGUGGGGGUUAACAGUCGGAAACGACUGCUAAAACGGAAUAGGACAUAGAAUCAAAUGAUCCGGUAGGGAAGGGUGGCGCAGGUUAUCGCUAGGAGUUGAACCCGCGUUGCAUUAGCUAGUUGGUAGGGUAAAGGCCUACCAAGGCGAUGAGGCAUAGCCGACCGGAGAGGGUGAUCGGCCACAUUGGGACUGAGACACGGCCCAAACUCCUACGGGAGGCAGCAGUAGGGAAUCUUCCGCAAUGGACGCAAGUCUGACGGAGCAACGCCGCGUGAGUGAAGAAGGUCUUCGGAUCGUAAAGCUCUGUUGUUAGAGAAGAACAGCGCAUAGAGUAACUGUUAUGCGUGUGACGGUAUCUAACCAGAAAGCCACGGCUAACUACGUG